rnacentral:rRNA from 1 species
GGUAACUUAGUCUUUUACUCAUCAUAAAUGGAUCACUAAUCUAUUCAUCAAUAUCACUAUUUAAGAAGAGUUUCUUAUAUCUCCCCGUCACCCCAACCAAACAACUUUAACUUAAAUAAUAGUUCUCCCCAAAUCUAUUUAUAGCCAUAAAUUGUAAAACUCUAUAGGGUCUUCUCGUCCUCCAACAUUAUUUUAGCCUUUUAACUAAAAAGUUAAAUUUUAAUUCAAUCCUUACGAGACAGUUAACACCUCGUCCAACCAUUCAUGCCAGCCUCUAAUUAAGAGACUAAUGAUUAUGCUACCUUUGCACGGUCAAAAUACCGCGGCCCUUCAAUUUUCAGUGGGCAGGCUAGACCUCCUAUCCAAUCAAGAAGCG